UACGAAGGGGGCGAGCGUUGUUCGGAUUUACUGGGCGUAAAGGGCGCGCAGGCGGCUCAUUUUGUCAGGCGUGAAAGCCCCGGGCUUAACCUGGGAACUGCGUUUGAUACGGAUGGGCUAGAGUUCGGGAGAGGAGAGUGGAAUUCCCAGUGUAGAGGUGAAAUUCGUAGAUAUUGGGAAGAACACCGGUGGCGAAGGCGGCUAUCUGGACCGACAUUGACGCUGAGGCGCGAAAGCGUGGGGAGCAAACAGG
rnacentral:rRNA from 1 species